GCGAGGAAACCCGCUGAACUUAAGCAUAUCAAUAAGCGGAGGAA
rnacentral:rRNA from 1 species